rnacentral:misc_RNA from 1 species
GGAAGGAUCAUUAACACGUUUUCCAAACGUUAUUGACCCAUUCUAUUUUCCGUGCACACACAUGCGUCCGGCCUCCCAGCCGCCUGCCGGGUUUACUCGGUAUGGCCUGUUGGGCGUCUUUGGGAUCAAAGGAGUUUGUGGUUGUUUCUCACGAGACUGCUGCUUUCUUCUCCCUCUGGCGUUGCCACCUCACCCAAACCCUUUAAUCUAAUCUAUCUGAACUUUUAGUUGCUGAAGGAGAGCAAUCUCUGGAUACAACGAAUACAAAACAAACAACAACUCUUAACAACGGAUAUCUUGGUUCUCGCAACGAUGAAGAACGCAGCGAAAUGCGAUACGUAAUGCGAAUUGCAGAAUUCCGUGAAUCAUCAAGUUUUUGAACGCAAAUUGCGCCCUCUUUUAUCGGAGGGCACGCUUCUUUGAGUGUCGGUUUAACUUCUUUCUGGCAGCGUGCUGUCAUGAAGGGCAAUUUUGAGUGUUUCUUUCUCUGCAAAGAGAAAGUCACUUCAAGUACUUCAGGGGAGGCUUUUCGGAGCCCUUCCUGCCAGUGCACCGCUGGACUUGCGCUUAAAAAGAGUGCUAGUCAAGGUGGCGUGGAUAAUUCACUUCUUCAAUGAGGUGGUCCAAUACGUCAUUUCGGAUUCACUUCCGAGAUCCUGCGAGAGCAAUCUCAAAGGGCUUUGACUUCACUUUUUGCAUUUCUCAGCAGCACAAACCCCACCAAACAGACCUCAAAUGAAGCGAGAGGACCCGGUGAAUUUAAGCAUAUUAUUAACCGGAGGAAAAGAAACUAACAAGGAUUCCCCUAGUAACGGCGAGUGAAGCGGGAAGAGCUCAACUUGGAAAUCGGUAGGGCAUGCGUCCGUCCGAAUUGUAGUCUAGAGACGUUACCGCAAGUGCGGGUGGCGGGUCAAAUUUCCCUGGAAAGGGAAGCCAUAGAGGGUGAGAGCCCCGUCUGUGACUCGUUUGCCUGUAUGUGUCGGUUCGUUCUUCGAGUCGAGUUGCCUGGGAUCGCAGCUCUAAAUGGGUGGUAAAUUUCAUCUAAAGCUAAAUAUGGGCGAGAGACCGAUAGCGAACAAGUACCGUGAGGGAAAGAUGAAAAGAACUUUGAAAAGAGAGUUAAAAGUACUUGAAAUUGUUAAGAGGGAAGCACUGGAAGCCAUUCGGGAGGUGUCUCUAUGGACUUAUGUCUUGUUCGAGGCGCCUUUGGGGUCAGCAUCAAUUUCUGGCGCGGGAGAAGGCUUUACUGCUCUACCAGCUGUCGGGGAUUGAGGAUUGAAUGUUCAUUCGGUGUUUGCGUUUCGCAGUGGUUCAUCUUUUGUCGCAGAACAAAGUUCUUCGGUUUUAGCUGUGCUUCUUUCGUUGCGCUCUACCUGUUCAUUCGUGAUGCUGACGAUACGGUUUUCAUUGACCCGUCUUGAAACACGGACCAAGGAGUCUAACAUAUAUGCGAGUAUUUGGGUGGUUAAAACCCUGGUGCGCAAUGAAAGUAAUUUUUGGUAGGAACCCUUCACCGGGCGCACUAUCGACCGAUCACGCAAGUGAUCUUGAGUAAGAGCAUAUCUGUUGGGACCCGAAAGAUGGUGAUCUAUGCCUGAACAGGGUGAAGCCAGGGGAAACUCUGGUGGAGGCUCGUAGCGAUACUGACGUGCAAAUCGUUCGUCUGAUUUGGGUAUAGGGGCGAAAGACUAAUCGAACCAUCUAGUAGCUGGUUCCCUC